UAAAAACAUCUCAGUAAAUUAUCUAGGGCUCUGUAUUCUGAGUUUAAUUUUGUUUCACUUAGUAUGUUUUCUUACAUAUCCUGGUGUACUUUUUUUCUGAGAAGGUUAUUGGGAAAGCACUUGUUCUUGAUGAGAUUAUUAAUUACAUCCAGUCACUGCAGCGCCAAGUCGAGUUCCUUUCGUUGAACAUUGAAGCAGUCAAUUCAAGGGUGAACAUGAAUCCCGCCAUUGAAGCGUUUCCUUCAAAAGAUCAAUUUGAUGCAGCUGCGUUGUUAUUUGGACCACACACACCAAGGGAGUAUGUGCAGGGCUCGCAAGCCGAAUGGUUGCAUAUGCAGGUUGGUGGUUG